rnacentral:rRNA from 1 species
GUAAGGAAUAUUGGACAAUGGAGGGAACUCUGAUCCAGCCAUGCCGCGUGAAGGAUGAAGGCGCUCAGCGUUGUAAACUUCUUUUGGAUGGGAACAAUAACUUCUACGUGUAGGAGCUUGAGGGUACCAUCAGAAUAAGCACCGGCUAACUCCGUGCCAGCAGCCGCGGUAAUACGGAGGGUGCAAGCGUUAUCCGGAAUCACUGGGUUUAAAGGGUGCGUAGGCGGUGGCGUAAGUCAGUUGUGAAAUUCCCCGGCUUAACCGGCGGGACUGCGAUUGAUACUGCGUCACUUGAAUCAGGAUGAGGUAGGCGGAAUGUGACAUGUAGCGGUGAAAUGCUUAGAUAUGUCAUAGAACACCGAUUGCGAAGGCAGCUUGCUGGACCUGUAUUGACGCUGAGGCACGAAAGCGUGGGGAGCAAACAGGAUUAGAUACCCGAGUAGUCC